rnacentral:rRNA from 1 species
AACGAACGCUGGCGGCAUGCCUAACACAUGCAAGUCGAACGAGACCUUCGGGUCUAGUGGCGCACGGGUGCGUAACGCGUGGGAACCUGCCCUUAGGUUCGGAAUAACUCCCCGAAAGGGGUGCUAAUACCGGAUAAUGUCUUCGGACCCAAGAUUUAUCGCCUUUGGAUGGGCCCGCGUUGGAUUAGCUAGUUGGUAGGGUAAAAGCCUACCAAGGCGACGAUCCAUAGCUGGUCUGAGAGGAUGAUCAGCCACACUGGGACUGAGACACGGCCCAGAAUACUACGGGAGGCAGCAGUGGGUAAUAUUGGACAACGGGCGAAAGCAUGAUCCAGCAAUGCCGCGUGAGUGAUGAAGGCGUUAGAGUUGUAAAGCUCUUUUACCCGGGAUGAUAAUGACAGUACCGGGAGAAUAAGCUCCGGCUAACUCCGUG